rnacentral:rRNA from 1 species
GGARKGGUSGCUGYCAYGAMUGCAAGUUCGAGMGGACAGAAGGGAGCUUGCUCCCGGAUGUUAGCGGCGGACGGGUGAGUAACACGUGGGUAACCUGCCUGUAAGACUGGGAUAACUCCGGGAAACCGGAGCUAAUACCGGAUAGUUCCUUGAACCGCAUGGUUCAAGGAUGAAAGACGGUUUCGGCUGUCACUUACAGAUGGACCCGCGGCGCAUUAGCUAGUUGGUGAGGUAACGGCUCACCAAGGCGACGAUGCGUAGCCGACCUGAGAGGGUGAUCGGCCACACUGGGACUGAGACACGGCCCAGACUCCUACGGGAGGCAGCAGUAGGGAAUCUUCCGCAAUGGACGAAAGUCUGACGGAGCAACGCCGCGUGAGUGAUGAAGGUUUUCGGAUCGUAAAGCUCUGUUGUUAGGGAAGAACAAGUGCAAGAGUAACUGCUUGCACCUUGACGGUACCUAACCAGAAAGCCACGGCUAACUACGUGCCAGCAGCCGCGGUAAUACGUAGGUGGCAAGCGUUGUCCGGAAUUAUUGGGCGUAAAGGGCUCGCAGGCGGUUUCUUAAGUCUGAUGUGAAAGCCCCCGGCUCAACCGGGGAGGGUCAUUGGAAACUGGGAAACUUGAGUGCAGAAGAGGAGAGUGGAAUUCCACGUGUAGCGGUGAAAUGCGUAGAGAUGUGGAGGAACACCAGUGGCGAAGGCGACUCUCUGGUCUGUAACUGACGCUGAGGAGCGAAAGCGUGGGGAGCGAACAGGAUUAGAUACCCUGGUAGUCCACGCCGUAUACGAUGAGUGCUAAGUGUUAGGGGUUUCCGCCCCUUAGUGCUGCAGCUAACGCAUUAAGCACUCCGCCUGGGGAGUACGGUCGCAAGACUGAAACUCAAGGAAUUGACGGGGGGCCCGCACAAGCGGUGGAGCAUGUGGUUUAAUUCGAAGCAACGCGAGAACCUUACCAGGUCUUGACAUCCUCUGACACCCUAGAGAUAGGCUUUCCCUUCGGGACAGAGUGACAGGUGUGCAUGGUGUCGUCAGCUCGUGUCGUGAGAUGUUGGGUAGUCCCGCACGAGCGCACCCUUGAUCUAGUGCAGCAUUCACUUGGCACUCUAGGUGACUGCCGUGACAAACGAGGAGAGAUGACUCAAUCAUCAGCCCCUUAUWGARCKGGGGCUACMCCMCMCUG